rnacentral:lncRNA from 1 species
CGGCCUUAUUCAACUAUACUAUAUCAAAGAAACAUUGCAUUUGACUAGGUCGAACCAACGUUACAAGGCGCUGGUUUCUUGGUGACAUUCACAAGCUAGCAACAUUUGAUCAGUGCUUUGUUGGAGGACGUUAGUCUGUCUGACGUCACAGUUACCCAAGUUAGUUAGCUAGCUCGCUAGUUUUAGACAAACUCUGAGAUGGAUUAAUCAGGAAUAAAGAAAAUGUGUUCAUUAAAUAAAGUCAAAGUAUGUGUUAUUGGUCAUUUAAUUUGUGGUGAAAAUCACCUAUGUUCACUUUGUCAUUUGACAUCAGAAGCAAAUCUGACAGAUUUCUAAAUGCUUCUCACCGAUAUAUACACAAUCGCUUUUUCAUAGCUUGACAGCCCUAACAUUGAACUUGUAGGGUAGACUUCCUGACAUUGGGCAGAUGUAUAGUAGGCCUAUCAUCACAGAACUGGGGUAGAGGGUAGGCAUAGUCUAUUGAUGACAAAAAAUCCCUGUAAAAAUCCUUAUGACCUUUAUUGUUGCCUAACUUUAUUCCUGUUCUCGAAUGAACCAUGACGAAAGGAAAGAAUAGCACUUAUCAAAUGUUUUGAGUGAUCAAGCUUGAACGUCCGUAGCUGAAGAAUCUCAAGGCCUUUCUCUUUUGUAUUUAAAUGAACAGCUGUUCUCCUGGUUUUACCUAUUCUCUCCAUUCUUCCUACUGAGUAGCAAAACAACUAGAAGGUCACAGGAAAUUAAGGGGGAAAAAAACCCCCAUUUAUAUUUAGAUGCAGACAAUUAUUUCCAGUUUCAACAGCGCCCUUUCUUCCCAUCACGAGGUCACUUUGCUGAUUAGUCUCAAUGAGCAGUUUGCACUUUCACGCGGACUCACUCUCUUGCCUCCGGUGUGUAAAUCGAACGAUAAUAUUCUGGAAUUGACAAUGCAGUCAGCUCGGAGAAAAGGCGUAGUCUGUGAACGUGUUUUCAAGACAUGCCUUGGAACCCAGUCUCUGCUUCCACCCGAGAGAACGAUGAGCUCUUCCCAAUAUCCUGAGCCACAGUCACAUGACGCACUGACUCUAUUGGUUCACUGUUCUGUUCGGGUUGACCUCUGACCCUCGAAUGAACAGACCACUCACUGUGCAAGUGGACAGCUCCAUCAAACAGCUGAGAGGCCGUAAGCACGUGACCGGAAAAGGGU